AAGGUUUCCGUAGGUGAACCUGCGGAAGGAUCAUUAUCGAAUAAACUUGAACAGGCUGUUGCUGGCCCUCCUCAUGGGGGGAUUAUGUGCACGCUUGUCUCAUUUUUGUUAUUUCUCCAACUGUGCACAUUUUGUAGAUCCUGGAUGGAGCUUUAUGAAUUUUUGAUUCGAGUCGGGACUGCUGUGCUUCCUAUUUUGUUGUGAAGUCGGCUUUCCCUUGCAUCUUCCAGGUCUAUGUUAUUUGUUUUCACAACCUCUCAAAUGUGUUUAGAAUGUUGAAUCAGGAGCUUUUUGCACCUAUAUAAAUGAACUAUACAACUUUCAGCAACGGAUCUCUUGGCUCUCGCAUCGAUGAAGAACGCAGCGAAAUGCGAUAAGUAAUGUGAAUUGCAGAAUUCAGUGAAUCAUCGAAUCUUUGAACGCACCUUGCGCUCCUUGGUAUUCCGAGGAGCAUGCCUGUUUGAGUGUCAUUUGACUUAUCAACCACAUCAGAUGUUUUGAAGUGGCUUGGACAUGGGGGUUUAUUUUUGCAGGCUUCUUCUUCUACAGAAGGCCAGCUCCCCUGAAAUGUAUUAGUGGUAUCUGAGCUACUGCUAUAGGUGUGAUAAUUAUCUAUGCCUUUAGUAUGCUGCAUGAACAGAUUGCACUGCUUAUAACAAUUGAAUUUGACAAAUCUGACCUCAAAUCAGGUAGGACUACCCGCUGAACUUAAGCAUAUCAAUAAGCGGAGGAAAAGAAACUAACAAGGAUUCCCCUAGUAACUGCGAGUGAAGCGGGAAAAGCUCAAAUUUGUAAUCUGG
rnacentral:rRNA from 1 species